rnacentral:rRNA from 1 species
AUUGAACGCUGGCGGCAGGCCUAACACAUGCAAGUCGAACGAGUGGCGGACGGGUGAGUAAUUUCUGGGAAACUGCCCGAUGGCGGGGGAUAACUACUGGAAACGGUAGCUAAUCCCGCAUACCAUCGGAUGUGCCCAGAUGGGAUUAGCUAGUGGUGGGGGUAACGGCUCACCUGGGCGACGAUCCCUAGCUGGUCUGAGAGGAUGACAAGCCACAAUGGAACGGAGACACGGUCCAGACUCCUACGGGAGGCAGAAGUGGGGAAUAGUGCACAAUGGGCGCAAGCCUGAUGCAGCCAUGCCGCGUGUAGGAAGAAGGCCGUCGGGUUGUAAAGUACUUUCAGCGAGGAGGCGUUACUCGCAGAAGAAGCAUCGGCUAACUCCGUGCCAGCAGCCGCGGUAAUAC